rnacentral:lncRNA from 1 species
UGGUGGUGAAGAUGAGGCUGGGUCUAGUCAGGUUAUAGAUGGUGGUGGUGUAGAUGAGGCUGGGUCUAGUCAGGUUAUAGAUGGUGGUGGUGUAGAUGAGGCUGGGUCUAGUCAGGUUAUAGAUGGUGGUGUAGAUGAGGCUGGGUCGAGUCAGGUUAUAGAUGGUGGUGUAGAUGAGGCUGGGUCUAGUCAGGCUAUAGAUGGUGGUGUAGACGAGGCUGGGUCUAGUCAGGUUAUAGAUGGUGGUGGUGUAGAUGAGGCUGGGUCUAGUCAGGUUAUAGAUGGUGGUGGUGUAGAUGAGGCUGGGUCUAGUCAGGUUAUAGAUAGUGGUGUAGAUGAGGCUGGGUCGAGUCAGGUUAUAGAUGGUGGUGUAGAUGAGGCUGGGUCUAGUCAGGCUAUAGAUGGUGGUGUAGAUGAGGCUGGGUCUAGUCAGGUUAUAGAUGGUGGUGUUGAUGAGGCUGGGUCUAGUCAGGUUAUAGAUGGUGGUGUAGAUGAGGCUGGGCCUAGUCAGGUUAUAGAUGGUGGUGGUGUAGAUGAUGCUGGGUCUAGUCAGGUUAUAGAUGGUGGUGUAGAUGAGGCUGGGUCUAGUCAGGUUAUAGAUGGUGGUGGUGUAGAUGAGGCUGGGUCUAGUCAGGUUAUAGAUGGUGGUGUAGAUGAGGCUGGGUCUAGUCAGGUUAUAGAUGGUGGUGUAGAUGAGGCUGGGUCUAGUCAGGUUAUAGAUGGUGGUGGUGUAGAUGAGGCUGGGUCUAGUCAGGUUAUAGAUGGUGGUGGUGUAGAUGAGGCUGGGUCUAGUCAGGCUAUAGAUGGUGGUGUAGAUGAGGCUGGGUCUAGUCAGGUUAUAGGUGGUGGUGUAGAUGAGGCUGGGUCUAGUCAGGUUAUAGAUGGUGGAGUAGAUGAGGCUGGGUCUAGUCAGGUUAUAUAUGGUGGUGGUGUAGAUGAGGCUGGGUCUAGUCAGGUUAUAGAUGGUGGUGGUGUAGAUGAGGCUGGGUCUAGUCAGGUUAUAGAUGGUGGUGUAGAUGAGGCUGGGUCUAGUCAGGUUAUAGAUGGUUGUGUAGAUGAGGCUGGGUCUAGUCAGGCUAUAGAUGGUGGUGGUGUAGAUGAGGCUGGGUCUAGUCAGGUUAUAGGUGGUGGUGUAGAUGAGGCUGGGUCUAGUCAGGUUAUAGAUGGUGGUGUAGAUGAGGCUGGGUCUAGUCAGGUUAUAGAUGGUGGUGUAGAUGAGGCUGGGUCUAGUCAGGUUAUAGAUGGUGGUGUAGAUGAGGCUGGG